UAAUAAUAAUAAUUAAAUUAGUUAAUGAGCUUGAU
rnacentral:tRNA from 1 species